UUCCUCCUCCAUAUUUUACUGACUUGUC
rnacentral:piRNA from 1 species